CCAGCACCUGCGGUAAUUCCCGCUCCAAUAGCGUAUAUUAAAGUUGUUGCAGUUAAAAAGCUCGUAGUUGGAUUUCUGGUUUGAGCGUCCGGUCCGCUCCUUUGGAGUGUGUACUAAGGAUGCUUGAGCCAUUUUUUGUGAGGACGUUCUUCUGCCAUUAAGUUGGUGGUUGGAUGGACUUGCAUCGUUUACUGUGAAAAAAUUAGAGUGUUUAAAGCAGGCGUUUGCUCAUUGAAUACAUUAGCAUGGAAUAAUAAGAUACGACCUUGGUGGUCUAUUUUGUUGGUUUGCACACCAGGGUAAUGAUUAAUAGGGACAGUUGGGGGUAUUCAUAUUUCAACGUCAGAGGUGAAAUUCUUGGAUCGUUGAAAGAUGAGCUUAGGCGAAAGCAUUUACCAAGGAUGUUUUCA
rnacentral:rRNA from 1 species